CCCUUAGAUGUUCGGGGCCGCACGCGCGCUACACUGAAGGAAUCAGCACGUCUUUCUCCUUGUCCGAAAGGACUGGGUAACCCGCUGAACCUCCUUCGUGCUAGGGAUUGGGGCUUGUAAUUCUUCCCCAUGAACGAGGAAUUCCCAGCAAGCGCGAGUCAUAAGCUCGCGUUGAUUACGUCCCUGCCCUUUGUACACACCGCCCGUCGCUACUACCGAUUGGAUGGUUUAGUGAGAUCCUCGGAUUGGUCCCGGCGCGGCCUCUGGUCGUGCCGGAGUGCCGAAAAGAAUGUCGAACUUGAUCAUCUAGAGGAAGUAAAAGUCGUAACA
rnacentral:rRNA from 1 species